rnacentral:rRNA from 1 species
UACGAAGGGUGCAAGCGUUACUCGGAAUUACUGGGCGUAAAGCGUGCGUAGGUGGUUUGUUAAGUCUGUUGUGAAAGCCCCGGGCUCAACCUGGGAAUGGCAAUGGAUACUGGCAGGCUAGAGUUCGGAAGAGGCGAGUGGAAUUCCUGGUGUAGCGGUGAAAUGCGCAGAUAUCAGGAGGAACACCGAUGGCGAAGGCAGCUCGCUGGGACGAUACUGACGCUGAGGCGCGAAAGCGUGGGGAGCAAACAGG